rnacentral:rRNA from 1 species
UACGAAGGGAGCUAGCGUUGUUCGGAAUCACUGGGCGUAAAGCGCACGUAGGCGGAUGUGUCAGUCAGGGGUGAAAUCCCGGAGCUCAACUUCGGAACUGCCUUUGAUACAGCACGUCUUGAGUCCGAUAGAGGUGGGUGGAAUUCCUAGUGUAGAGGUGAAAUUCGUAGAUAUUAGGAAGAACACCGGUGGCGAAGGCGGCGCUCUGGGACCGAGACUGACGCUGAGGCGCGAAAGCGUGGGGAGCAAACAGGAGU